rnacentral:rRNA from 1 species
UACGUAGGUGGCAAGCGUUGUCCGGAUUUAUUGGGUUUAAAGGGUGCGUAGGCGGUCUUAUAAGUCAGUGCUGAAAUAUCCCGGCUUAACCGGGAGGGUGGCAUUGAUACUGUAGGACUUUGAGUAGAGUUGAGGUUGGCGGAAUUGACGGUGUAGCGGUGAAAUGCUUAGAUAUCGUCAAGAACACCGAUAGUGAAGACAGCUAACUAAGCUCUAACUGACGCUGAGGCACGAAAGUGUGGGGAUCAAACAGG